rnacentral:lncRNA from 1 species
UAAUGUCGUGAUAGGAAAUAGGGUGAGAGAUCCUUACUUGUUUCAGAGUCUGAAAUCGGGUUCUCACUACGCCUACGGGAAGUCUCUAGAUUCCCUGAAUUUUUCUCCGAAAACUGAAACACACUUCUGGUACCUGCACAUGUACCCAAAAAACCCCAAAUCAGACUCAGGGCCCUUUUGGCCAAUUUCAGAAUUCCGGCACGGCGGCUCCGCUGUGCUCUGGCGACGACAUCGCCACCCGCGGCGACGAUCCGCCUCGGGUUGGCCGUUUCCAGCCGUUUUCGGCUGAAUUCGGCCAAACUUGCAUUGGUUACUGUGAUAAAACCCCUAGGGCUCUCGGUGGGCCAAAAAUUACAGAAAAUUG